rnacentral:rRNA from 1 species
ACGCUGGCGGCGUGCCUAACACAUGCAAGUCGAACGAGAAAGAGGGGGCAACCCCUUGAGUAAAGUGGCGACCGGGUGAGUAACACGUGACUAACCUACCCUUGAGUGGGGAAUAACCUUCCGAAAGGAGGGCUAAUACCGCAUAACAUCGCGAGGCGAGAUUCCUUGUGAUCAAAGGAGCAAUUCGCUUAAGGAGGGGGUCGCGGCUGAUUAGCUAGUUGGUGAGGUAACGGCUCACCAAGGCGAUGAUCAGUAUCCGGCCUGAGAGGGCGCACGGACACACUGGAACUGAAACACGGUCCAGACUCCUACGGGAGGCAGCAGUGGGGAAUUUUGCGCAAUGGGGGAAACCCUGACGCAGCAACGCCGCGUGGAGGAUGAAGGUCUUUGGAUUGUAAACUCCUUUCGAUCGGGACGAUUAUGACGGUACCGGAAGAAGAAGCACCGGCUAACUCUGUGCCAGCAGCCGCGGUAAUACAGAGGGUGCAAGCGUUGUUCGGAAUUAUUGGGCGUAAAGGGCGCGUAGGCGGUUCGGCAAGUCUCUAGUGAAAUCUCUGGCUCAACUCAGAGUCUGCUGGGGAAACUGCCGGGCUUGAGUGUGGGAGAGGAGAGUGGAAUU